GGCGUGCGCAUGCGCCACGAGAGGAUGUGCCGCAGACGGGACGGGAAGCACCAGGUCGCACCUGGAAGAAAAUCAGACAUUCAUAAGGCCGCACAAAGCGCAACUUGUCCUGCUGCGGAUGACUGGCCCUCUCGUCCGCUCCAUGGGCGCUGGGGGAAUGUGUGCACAUGCUAGUGUCAACAAACAAAUGACGUUCAGAUCUGACAAAUGAUUACUAUUCCGUGUAAACCCUGUAAGUCAGUAAACAGGAGUGGCUGCUGGUGAGGGGGAGACACACAAAGAGAGAGAGAGACUCAAGUGGGAGUCUGAGAGAUUCUGUCGGUGCACGUCGCCACUGGGGAAGGCUCACAGAGGGGACCAGAAUGGAUGUGGCUCUUCUCCCAGUGCACUCCAUUCAGGAACGAACAGCUGACGUUUCACCUGUGGCGUCGCUAACGCGAACUCGCGUCCACGGGUCGACUAUAAGACCGUCAUUCCCCCGUGCAGUGCCACUGUUGACCUCACCACCUGUUCGAACGUGCCCCUCAGAUGUGGAACAACGGGGGCGGCUAGCAGGCUAGCAGGCUAGCAUCAAGUGCUUGGCCGACAAGUGUGCUAGCACUGGGCUAGCGCUAGCGCGGUGCGCUACACGGGCGCUCGCGACGUGACUAGAUUAGCCUCGAGCGCCAGGCUAAUGCUAACUAGUCCCGCGACCAAACGUUUCGCGAGUCCCCCGAAGAAGUUCCCAUCGCGAAGAGACGUGGCCGGGGGAGAGAGGGGGUCGGGGGGAGAGAGACACACACACACCCACACCGGAGAGAGGGUGCGAAGCAGCCUGCGCAGGUGUGCUUUAAUUUGCGGGCUAGCGGCGGCGGCGGCGCAGGAGCAGCGGAGCUCACCGGAGGUUCCCCACCAGCUCGACUUGAGUAGAACUCGACCAGCGGACGAUCCUCGACGGCCCGCGACGCGUCUGUAGAUCCGGUCAGAGAAGUUCCUCGGUGGUUCACACCGCGUGCAGAUAACGCGGUGGAAACUGGGACUUGGACUAUUUACAAUUCAACUUUCGCUCCUAUCGUUUGGGCCCUUGGGUGAUUCCGCUAUGGCGCAGGGGAAGCGGAACUACCGAGCCAGCCCCGGAGCGAUCGGCGAGUGUUCCAGAUGAAAGGUGUCUGUCCGAGUCCACCAGUGACGGACAGAUCGUCCACAACCUCUGAGCUCCAACGACAUGUGGAAACUCCAAAAACUGAACAUUUGAGUUGGUGCAGUUCAACAUGUAUAGUCCGCGAAGGACAAUGUGAUGAAUAUUCACUUGUAGCCGUUUGAUCUUUCGGGAAUUUCUGCAAACUACACUGGGAGAUAGUUGCACGAGUAUGACAUUUUAUUUUCAAUCAUGAUAAAUCCGAACAGUACAGAGGCCCAUUUUCUCUGUUUGAUUCCCCCCCCCCCCCAUACAGAGCAGUUUAACUUGUUUUAUCAGUAUUAGAAUCAGAAUCAGUUUUAUUGCCAGGUGGGUAACAGGUUACAUACGAGGAUUUUCUUUUUGGUGUUAUGAAGGUGCAUGUAGCAGUCAACAUAUAUACACAGAAUUAGAAAAAGAAUAUAAAAUAAAAUAAAAUGAAAUAAAAUAAAAUUCACACGAUUUACAAUAAAUAUCGGGGUCAUAGAUGGUUAAAUGAGUGGUGGAUUACAUUAAUAUAACGUGGAAUGUCCCCGGGGAAGGAAGGGAGGUAUCGGUGGGGGUCCCGGGCCUUGUUGAGGAAUUAUGGACAGGGUCUAAAUAUAAGGCUAUAUAAUAGUUUAUGUAGAUCUAAAUAAAAUUAAACAUUGGAUAUAUGAUAUACGUUUUAUUUACAACAGUUUCAAGUACAUAUUCUGAAAUUUUAACUGUUAAAAUACAGAAGCUAGAAAUACUUAAUAAAUAAUAAGACUUAAUAAAAAGACAAAAGUUAGUUACUGGGCUGUGGAUCAAACAUGAACUAUUUCAUAACCAGACCCUUAUUUACACUAGAGUGUCAUGAUACUGCCAUUAUAGAUUAAUACACAUAUUGCUUGACACAACAGAGGUAGAGCAGAAUAAAAAAAAAGAUAAUAUAAUAAGAUGGGUAAUUGUCUUUGGUUGAGACAUAAAUCACCAAAGAGAACACAAAGCAGUGCAAGUUGAGAGAUUUAGAUCUAAAAUAUUGUUUGCAAAUGAUGAGCUUCUUACAAACAGUCCUGAGUUAAGUGUUUUCAAAAUAAAUAAAUAAACAAAUGUCCUCAUCCA